CUCAAAAAAAAAUAAAAAUAAAUAAAUAAAUAAAAUUAAAAAGAUAAAAAAGAUGGCUGUAACAUUCUAGUUUAUGCCCUGAAAAGGGGAAUAUAGUCAUUCUAUAGUGUUUGGAGAUUUUUGGAUUACCCUUAAUUGUAUGCAAAUUGUCUUAUUGUGUAUUGUCACUUAAUUUCAGGACUCAGAUUUCAUGCUUGAAGAAAUGCAGGCAGACCUGUUAUCCUAAACUAGGGUUUUUAAUGACCACAGCAAGCAAGCAUGCAGCUUACCGCUUGAAAGACAGGGUCUUGCCUCACCCAAGCUGGAGUGCAGUGGCCCUUUGAAGCUUACUACAGCCUCAGACUUAUGGGCUCAAGUGAUCCUCAGCCUCCCAAUGGUCUUUGUAGACAGCCUGAUGGAGUCUCACGGCACAAGAAGAUUAAAACAGUGUCUCCAAUUUUAAUAAAUUUUUGCAAUCCAAAA